UUCGUAGGCGGACUGGAAAGUCGGAUGUGAAAUUUCACAGCUCAACUGUGAAACUGCAUUCGAAACUUCCAGACUAGAGUGUGAGAGGGGUGAAGGGAAUUCCCAGUGUAAGGGUGAAAUCUGCAGAUAUUGGGAAGAACACCGGUCGCGAAGGCGCUUCACUGGCUCACUACUGACGCUGAGGGACGAAAGCUAGGGUAGCCAACAGGAUUAGAUACCCUGGUAGUCC
rnacentral:rRNA from 1 species